CUCAGGAAGGAGAACUGAGAGCCUUUUUCUAAGUGGUGCCUGCUUUGUUUAAGGGAAGUGGAGCCAUGCUGGGGCCCAACCAGGAGCCGGCCAGGCAGACCCAGGCAGGAGAGAACACAUGGAGUUUACUGUCCAUGAAUGUUCCAAGCUCCACCACUGGAAGUGACUCUCCACAGAGUUCAGUAAGAGAGAGAGAGACACCAUAGAAAUCUGAAGAUGGCUUUGCCCUUCGACUCUGCAAUCUGCUCGCUACUCUCAGAACUGUGCUCUUCUUGUCUGGAGAUCCCCCACCCCCAUCACAGGCAGGAGGAGGACACUUUGAAGCUCCCACUGGAGCCGGAUACAGCACUUGGUUGUUGUGGAAAACAGUCUCUUUCAGCAUACCUUGAACAUCACAAAGAGACAGCCCUCCGCCUGCCUCCUCUGGCCUCCCCUCUCCUCCUCUUCUGUAAUACCCUCUUCGUCCUUCUUCAACACCUUCAACUCUUCCCAGGUAUAUAUUAACUAGAAGAUAAAAUCCAACUUCUUCAACAUGAUGUUCCAGUCUCCUGGCAGUCUUCCAACUGGAUCAAGGACUCAUUCACUUUUGUCUCCUGAUGUCUGUCUUCCCUACCAGGCUUCAGGUAACAUUUAAGUAACUAGGCUUGUAAUUGCUUAUAAAAUAUAUUCAGGCCAAGCACAGUGUCUCAUGCUUGUAAUCCUAGCACACUGGGAGGCCAAGGUGGGCAGAUUACUUGAGAUCAGGAGUUCAAGACCAGCCUGGCCAACAUAGAAACCCUGAAAAAUACAAAAUUAGCCCAGCAUGGUGGCGCCUGCCUGUAGUCCCAGCUACUUGGGAGGCUCAGGCAGGAGAAUCACUCUAACCUGAGAGGCGGAGGCUGCAGUGAGCUGAGAUUACACCACCGCACUCCAGCCUGGGCAACAGAGCAAGAGACUCCAUCUCAAAAAAAAAAAAAAAAGUUUGUUACAAAAUCAUCUUCCCUACUAAAGAGGUCUUAUGCAAAUAUGGGAUUUUACUGUAAGAGGUAAUUUCAUAAAGUAAUGAAUAAGUCAAAUUUAAAUACAAAUGACACACGAAUGAUAAGUCAUUUUUGGCUAUUCCUUAGUUCAGAAGGCUUCCCACCCUAUCCCCUUCUGGUUACAUAGUGCAUUUCCAAGUCUCCUGCAGAUGCUUAUGGGCAAAACUUCACCUUAUGUACUUUUGUAGCGGCCGUUCCUGUCUGGGGCCACUGUUAGCCUUCGUACAGGUGAGAAAAAGGUGAUCCCCUUUGGAGGGAGACAGCCCCUUGGGUGGGUGUGGCUAGCUGAGCAUGGACCGCAGCCCAGUUCCCAGUCAGUGUUGGCUGGGAGCCCUUGAGAAAGGGACGCGGACACAACCCCAUGCGGUGGCCUUGCU
ensembl:lncRNA